rnacentral:rRNA from 1 species
GACGGAGGGUGCUAGCGUUGUUCGGAAUCACUGGGCGUAAAGGGCGCGUAGGCGGCCUUGCAAGUCGGUUGGUGAAAGCCCGGGGCUCGACCCCGGAGGUGCGGCCGAGACUGCAGGGCUGGAGGCCGGAAGAGGAGGGUGGAAUACCCAGUGUAGAGGUGAAAUUCGUAGAUAUUGGGUGGAACACCGGUGGCGAAAGCGGCUCUCUGGUCCGGACCUGACGCUGAGGCGCGAAAGCGUGGGGAGCAAAAGGG